AUUGAACGCUGGCGGCAGGCUUAACACAUGCAAGUCGAGCGAGCGGCGGACGGGUGAGUAAUGUCUGGGAAACUGCCUGAUGGAUGGGGAUAACUACUGGAAACGGUAGCUAAUACCGCAUACCAUCAGAUGUGCCCAGAUGGGCUUAGCUAGUAGGUGGGGUAAUGGCGCACCUAGGCGACGAUCCCUAGCUGGUCUGAGAGGAUGACACGCCACACUGGAACGGAGACACGGUCCAGACUCCUACGGGAGGAAGCAGUGGGGAAUAUUGCACAAUGGGCGCAAGCCUGAUGGAGCCAUGCCGCGUGUAUGAAGAAGGCCUUCGGGUUGUAAAGUACUUUCAGCGAGGAGGCGUUACUCGCAGAAGAAGCACCGGCUAACUCCGUGCCAGCCGCCGCGGUAAUAC
rnacentral:rRNA from 1 species